rnacentral:lncRNA from 1 species
CGAGAUCCAAAACAUCACUUUCAAGGGGUAGGAGUAGCAUUGAGCUCCAGAAAAAAUGCAGAAACUAUAUAUAAUAAAUAUACAUCCCAAAAUAAGUAUCACUUUUAGGAUUCUUGAAAGAGAUGAAUGUUAUUUAAAAGUUACAUAUUUACUCAUCACAAGCUAUUUCAUCUAAUAAUUGCAUUUUGGGCAACAAUAUCAUCGACCGACUUGUCAGAUUGGUUAGUACAGCUAUAAUGCAGCUCAAUCUUCAGCAACUCAGACUCCAAAUAAACAAUUUGUAAUUCCUUCUCCAUAGCCUUAUUGCGUAAACCUUGGAGCUUUGCCUGCAAUGAAAGCUACAAAAUAAUAAGCAUCAUUGGAUUAUUUGCAGAUUAUAUUUUUAUAAUAAAUUAACUUAGAGACAUAAAUGUUAAUAAUAUUUACUAUAUACUCGAUCAAACUUUAACUUUUUUGAUCGGGACAUAUCCCAUAAUUGUAUUCUUUUAUGGACGGAGAGAGUAUCUAGAUAUAACAGAUUAACAAUAUAUCUAGAUACUUAGAAAAAUUGAUGUGCCAAACAAGUUAGAGCGACUUAUAAUUUGUAAUGAAGGGAGUAAUUCAUACACAGUUAUGUCAGAUCAACUGGGAAACAAAACCACACAUAUCUUGUUAGUCUGAAAUAGAUAUUUGUAAAAAUAGUUUAGCUAUAUAUGGUACUGACUACGUCUUCUUAGUGAAACAUAUACUCUGAAAUACAUAUUUUUAGAAUAAAAUUAUAAAUUGUUAAAAAAAAGCAUCAUGAUUUAGUCCUUAAUUAAGGUAGCAGAAAGUAAGGAACAGAAAUUACUGGAAAUCCCAUCUCAUGUUUGUACCAAAAUAAAAAAUGAGAGCCUAGGAGUAAUAGGCUAACUAACAUUAUAAUAAAGGUAGUAAGAAAGAAUAAAAAAUACACGGAAGAACUACUGGUCUUCUAAGGAUAAAAAUAGGUAGCUGUAAUAUAUCAGUGUAUAUUUGCGGUGGAAUUCUUAGAAAACUACAUGUUUUAGCUGCAAACACCAGAGUAAAUUUGGUAGAAAUAGUAACAUAAGUUUUAUUAAUUGAAUUAAAUUCAAAACUGUAGUAUUCCAUAUAUAUUACAUGAAUUUGGAAUCCAAAUAAAUUUCCAAUAAACUGCAUGCGGACAUUGUGCUCAAAUGCAAUCCAUUUGCAUCCAGGGCAGAAUGAAACUGAAUGACUAUUCCCUUGUUACCUCUUCUGACACGCUCUCUGUGUUAUACUUGUCAUUCCAGUACUGAGUGCAUAUUUCGUAGUGCUGCUACACACUUAGUACGUGGACAAUACCAUAAUAGAUUUAGUGUGCAUGAGUGAGAACAUGAGUCAUGUGUGUGACAGAGAGCACUUACUAGGCAGAGUCAUUGACAAUCUUAUCAUAUGCAAUCCUGAACUUUUUGAAUAUGAUCUAAUAUAUCAUAUUGCUGUAUUGAAAAUUCAUUUAUCAGAAUUGUCAUAUUGAGAAUUGAAUUGGAAUAUUGAACCAGCUGAUUACCAAAAAGCAAUAUUGAACCAGCUGAUUGAACCAGCAGGUUGUCAUUUAUCAGACAUGUACAACCUAAAAGCAAUAUUGAACCAGCUGAUUACCAAAAAGUAAUAUCAGGAAAAAGGUAACUAAUAUAUUAAAAGAUUCAAAGAAAAAUAUAAAAUUCAUGCUGAAUAACUAUUUUCAAUAAAAAAACAGGCUUAUGCAGCAGUAUAAUCUGGUUGCAACAAAUGCAGCAGGUCUACACUACAACUUAGAGGAGCUAAUGUACUGUUAAAAAGUGCCACUUUAAAUCAGCUACAAAUCUGAACAUUUGUGCAGUAUAACAAUUUCAUAAAGAUAUAUAGAUCUUAAAUAUGCAUAUUACCUCAAAGAAAUAUCAUUUUGAAGAUAACAAUACUGAUAGACCUAUGUCACCAAUAAUAAUUGAAAAUACCACGCAGGAUAAUUGAUAAAUAAACUCAUUAGAUCUAAAAUAAACAGUUCUGCAAUACAAAAAUAGCAUUCAUAUUGAACAAAAUAAGCACAUCUGCAACCUACAAUUUUUUUUAUAUCUGCAAAAGUGGUAGUAUAAAAUGAAUGUUGGCAAUUAAUAGAUGGCUCAAGAAAAACUUUUAAAAAAACUAUCUGAUACUAAAUAUGUGAACUCCUGAUACGAGUAAAAGAUACUAACACACUAGACCUACACCACCCAAAAAUGGGAACUCACGCAGACAGUAGACUUGAAGCAGGAUACAGAACUAACAUCUAAGAAAUAUAAUGUUGUUGUUUGAAUUUAGAUUUCUAACGACAAUUAGUAGACCCCAGUCUAGAAAGAUGUUGUAUUUCAUAUAACAUAAACAUGACAAGUCAGAUGAAUAAAAAGAAUGCAAAAUGACAGUGCAUGGGAGGUUGAGAAGAAAUAGAUUGCUACUGAAAAGUGAGUAGACCUAGGGAUAAUAAUACGAUUUUGGAACUAAUAUUAAUGUCAAUAAUUCCUGCACGGACACCACCAUUAGGACACCAUUUUCAGUACAAAAGUGCGGAUCUGACAUGUGAGUCAAUAAACAUAUAUAUAUUAAACAUGAGAUGCAUAAGAAAUGAGACUGAAUUUAUUUCCUAAUUUCCUACACAGGAAUUUUAACAAGAAAACAAUAAGCAAUGUCAAACUAUAUUUACUAAUUAGUGUUUUUUCGACUGACAAAGAAGCUAAAUGGAUGAAAUUAUGUGGAAAGUAUACUAAGUUAAGGAUACAUGCUGUUAAAGCACACACACAAGUUCUGCAUUGCCAGGAAGAAAUAUGAAAUAUUACUGAUGGUAAAAACCAUAUUCACUCACGGUAAAAACUGCAGUGUUUGAACUACAUACACAGAUUUAUGUCCUCUGAAGUGCAAGGACUAUCCAGACGAAAAGAAUAGUGAAAAAAACAAACAAGAAUCAGUUCUGAAUAAAAAAGCGAGGAAGCAAGAACUCAAUAGGAAAAACCACCGACCACCGGAUGCAGAUCCAAACGAACCCAGGCAGCAGCAUGCAGAUCCAGUCCACCACGAAUCGACCCAGUGUGAAUCGAACAAGAAAAUUAAAGGAGCAGCAUAUAUUAUGUUAGAAUGUUGAAAAAAACCAUGACCGAGCUAGAAGUGCAUCUAUUUAGUGACUUAGAAAAGAAAAGAAUAAUCUAGGGGAGAUGAAGGAGCACAAAACUGUCGACCAAAAUUCUGAAGAAAAAGAACAAAAUCAUGUAGAGAGAGUGAGAGUGAGAGUGAGAGUGAGACGAGUGUCGGAUUCGGAUCUGAAAGAGAGAGAGCGAGAGAGGGACAGUGAGAGAGACGGAGAGAGAGGGACGAUGGGAGAGAGACACCGAGAGCUCUGUAGAGGGAGAGAGAGAGAGAGAGAGAGAGAGAGAACAAGAGUGCUGGAGAGAGAGGAACAAGAGUGUAGAGAGAGAGAGACCGAGAGCUCUGGGAGUGUGUGUGAGAGAGUGUGGCGACAGGUAGGAUCGGAGAGAUUGACGGAGUUUGGAACCACGGCGGCGGCUGGGAGACGAGAAAAGACUGUGAUGAUUGGGAAUGGGAACUGUAAGGCUGUUUGGAUGUAGUUAGAUUCACAUCAAUUUAUAUGUGUUGGAGUGGAUUGGAGUGAAAUUUGAACUAAAUUUUAUCUCAAUCCACUCCAACGGCAUAGGAUACACGUGAAAACCCGUGGAUAGAUGAAGGCGGGUGGUGUCCCCCUACUGACAAGCAAUUUUGACCACCGUUGAAUGCAGAAUAGGAGAACAUUCAUACUGGUAGUUCUAAACCUAUUUUUACUAGCACUUUUAACAACUACCAGUGUGAAAGAUUAAUUAAAGUCAGCUAAUUUUAUGGGCGUCAUCUAAGAACCACCUUUGUAAAUAUUUACAGUAGCGAGUGAACCCUGUAAAUCGAUUUACAAUCACCGUUGUGAAUAAGGCUAAAAAGUUAGCAAAAAAUUUAUCAGGGAGAGUCGCGGUUGUGAAGGCUAAAAGAUUAGCAAAAAAGACUCACUACCUCAGGUCUCGCGGGAUACGUCGCCCCUUACCACUGCACCCCUAAAGUCACUUGUGUGACUGAGCACGAGAAACAAUCCCUAGUAUAUUUACUCUGUAAAAUUUUCAAAUGAAGAUUUGAAGCCUUAAGCGAAUUUGAAUGAAAAAAGUUUCAACUUUGUAGUUGUAGAUCUUUUCGAAUACUAUAAUUUUCAUUUAGACCAUGUAUCCAUUUGAAAAACUGAAAAAAAAAACUAACUGUAUUUACACUGGUGGUUUAUAGUAGCGCUAGGUUAAGAAAACAGUCCGUAUAAAAUUUUUACUAACCUGUAUUUCUACUAGCGAUAGACUUAAGAAAACAAUCACUAAAUGUAUUUACACUAGUGGUUUAUAGUUUGAGCCCACAGUUUAUUUGUAAUGGCGCCUAUAUAUUAUGAACCGCUAGUAAAAAGAUUACAACCAUUAGCAAAAAUUGAUUGUGACAAGUGGAAAAACCUUUCGGUGAGAUAGUAAGAGAACCAUAUUCAUGAAAAAAGAGUGUCUGGUUAUUUUUUGUAGAAUGUGUUUGGUUAGUGGUUACUCAGAGCAUCUCUAAAAGUUUCCAGAAAUUAGUUCCCAAAAUUAAUGAGUUUUCCAAGUCGUCAAAAAGAAUUAGAACCAGCAAAGAAGGCUUUCUCCAACCGUUUCCGGCCUCUAAUAAUUGCUUGCCAAUAAUUUAUAUUUUUUUAUUUAAAAAACACUCGCAUAUAGCAACAUAUGCAAACAUACCAUACAAGUCACUACAAAAAUUCAUUAAACGAGGGGUAUAUUGGACAUCAUGUUUAGAUUUGAAAAUUUUUGGCCAAAGUGGUAAAAAUUUUUGUGGUCAGAACUUUAGCUCAAAAGUCUGACGCACGCGAAAAAUUUUAGGUAUUUAGUUUGUCAAUUUUUUUCUGACACGACUUGGGCUGCAUGCAGUUGUUAUUGGUGGGCUUACAUGGGAGUGCGUGCACAGUAGCAGGUUCUGCAGCCCAAAAUUUUUGCCCCGUUUAGGCCUUGUUUAGUUCCGAAAAAAUUUCGGAUUUCGCUACUGUAGCACUUUCGUUUUUAUUUGACAAAUAUUGUCCAAUCAUAAACUAACUAGGAUCAAAAGAUUCGUCUCGUGAUUUACAGACAAACUGUGUAAUUAGUUUUUGUUUUCGUCUAUAUUUAAUGCUUUAUGCAUGUGCCGCAAGAUUCGAUGUGACGGGGAAUCUUGAAACCUUUUUGGAUUUCGGGGUGAACUAAACAAGGCGUUCCUAGACCCUAAUUCCACAAAAAAAAAUCUUUAGACCAAAAAAUUUCAAAUCUAAACAGACCCAAGCCAUUUAUCACCAAACUGGAGGGCAAAUGCCUAACCAAAAAGUUUGAUGAACGUGAUGUACCAUCCACUAGUGGAGGACAAAUGCACAACCAAAAUGUCCUUACCCAGCCAUUUAUCACCAAACAGAGAAGCUGUUCUA